rnacentral:lncRNA from 1 species
CAGAGCUCUUCGAAUCUUCUUUUGAAGGUUCGAGCCAAAUAUGGACUCACUCAUAUUCGUUCCAAACUAACACCAAAUGAACCCUAGGCCUCCCUCACCCUUGUGUCAUCUUUGGUUCCCUUCGAAUCCGCCCAGAAGUGUUCGAAUUUAAGAUCCAAGAAUCAGGAACCCUAAAAAUUUCCAGUCAUGGAAUUUGCCCGAAUUAAAUAGAAGAUUGGGGUCUAAUCGACCUUAGUCGAAGUAUUUUCAGUUGAAAAUACUUCGACUAAGGUCUGUUUGAUUUCAAAAAGGUCCGAAUUCAAAGUCAAGCUUGGGUCCGUAUAAUUUAAAGAUUUCUAGGUAUUUUUCCUAUUUUUCUUUUUGUAUCUUAUGUGUAUAUUGUUGCCUAUUUCAGUAGCUUGUGUAAUUUAUUUUUCACAUUUUUGUUUAUUUAAAUUCUGUGAUUCUGUCUCAUACCCAUCUAUUUGAUCAAAUAAAUGAAUUGUUUCUGUUGGUUAUGAUUGUUUACAAUGUGUGUAAUCGACUCGAUUAAGUUCGUCGAUUAGUUACAUUAUGAAUUCCCGUUUGUGAUAAUGCUAAUUGAAACAAUCUGUUUACCUAUUGUUUGUGGACAAUUGUUAUAUAUAAUCAGUUUGAUUAAUACUCGUCAGUUAAAUCAUCCUUGAUUAUAUUUCAAUGAAUCUGUCAGAUGAAUGAUGUGUAUGUGUUGAUUUCUGAACAUUGAGUUUCAGGGCAUUGUCAGUAUAUUGACAAUGCUCCUGUGUUUGUUUGAUCUUAGUUCAAUGUUGAAGUUCAGUUUGAAUUGUUGUGUUGAAUUCAGUGUAAUGUUAUUGUGAUGUGGGGUUUGAAUUCAAGUUUACAAGGGUUGAUUAGAUACAACUGUGUUAGGAUUUGAUUAGAUAAUGUUAAUAGCAUUGGUUAUAGCUGUUUGAACAGAGUGUAGAAUCUGUUCUGAUUUUGUAUUAAGAACAAUAAUUACAGUAGGAUUUCAGGGGUGUUUUGGGAAUGAAACAGUGAAAGUCAUAUGAUAAUGUUAGUGUGCUGUUGGUGGAUUGUUAAUGAAGCUUAGGUCCGUAUAAUUUAAAGAUUCCGAGGUAUUUUUCCUAUUUUUCUUUUUGUAUCUUAUGUAUAUAUUGUUUCCUGUUUCAGUAGCUUGUGUAAUUUAUUUUUUCACAUUUUUUGUUUAUUUAAAUUCUGUGAUUCUGUCUCAUACCCGUAUAUUUGAUCAAAUAAGUGAAUUGCUUCUGUUGGUUAUGUUUUUUUACAAUGUGUGUAAUCGACUCGAUUAAGUUCGUCGAUUAGUUACAUUAUGAAUUCCCGUUUAUGAUAAUACAUUGUAAUAACCUGCUCAUCUGUUUUGAUUGACUAUUAUCAUGUUGUUGUAAUCAGUUAAUUAGUUCUUGCUAAUUAGUUGGUUCUUGUUUAAUAAGUCAGAAAGUUUAUCAAACAUUUGUGUAUUAAUUUCUGAGCAGUUGGUUUCAGGCAGUGUCAAUAUACUGACAAUGCCCCUGCAUUCAUACAUAUUUCAAAUUCAGUUUAAAUUGUUCUGUUGAAUUCUGUGUGAUGUUGUUGUGGUGUUAGGUUUAAAUUCAUGUUUACAAGGGUUGAUUAGAUACAACUGUGUUAGGAUUUGAUUAGAUAAUGUUAAUAGGAUUGGUUAUAGCUGUUUGAACAGAGUGUAGAAUCUGUUCUGAUUUUGUAUUAAGAACAGUAAUUACAGUAGGAUUUCAGGGGUGUUUUGGGAAUGAAACAGUGAAAGUCAUAUGAUAAUGUUAGUGUGCUGUUGGUGGAUUGUUAAUGGCUAUAAUCUAAUGAAAUAAUGGGAAACAAAGGGUAAUGGGAAUGCUGGAAAUCAGGAAAAGUUCACUUAAUGGGAUUUAAAGUAGUUAAAAGCAGAUUUUGGAUAUGAUUUUCUGGUUUUUAAAAGAA